rnacentral:lncRNA from 1 species
AGUAUCGACAUCACGAAUUCUCACAAGUAUCACAGGCCCAGACCUGUAGCUACUAAUGGGCCGCCCAGGUGUUUCGGCGAGUCCUUUCCGGGGGGCAAGACGCGCAGUGUCUGAUGCCGCGUGUGGCACGGCGAGGUUCCGAGAUCCGCGCACCCCUUUGUUCCCCAAGGUCCUCGAUCACCCAGAAGUCUCUCGGCGUCCCCCAGGCGAGCCCCCACCCCCACCCCCCGACCGACGGACCCCCCGGGAACACGAGGACGGCGCUGGAUGGCUUUUAAGCCCCCGUCUCCAGGGAGCCUGAGCACACUGGGGGAGUAACCGCCGCGUGC